AUACGGAGGGUGCAAGCGUUAAUCGGAAUUACUGGGCGUAAAGCGCGCGUAGGCGGAUAUUUAAGUCUCAUGUGAAAGCCCUGGGCUCAACCUGGGAACUGCAUGGGAUACUGGGUAUCUAGAAUACAGUAGAGGGUAGUGGAAUUUCAGGUGUAGCGGUGAAAUGCGUAGAGAUCUGAAGGAACAUCAGUGGCGAAGGCGACUACCUGGACUGAUAUUGACGCUGAGGUGCGAAAGCGUGGGGAGCAAACGGGAUUAGAAACCCUGGUAGUCC
rnacentral:rRNA from 1 species